rnacentral:rRNA from 1 species
GACGAACGCUGGCGGCGUGCUUAACACAUGCCAGUCGAACGGAAAGGCCCUGCUUGCAGGGUACUCGAGUGGCGAACGGGUGAGUAACACGUGGGUGAUCUGCCCUGCACUUCGGGAUAAGCCUGGGAAACUGGGUCUAAUACCGGAUAGGAGCCAUUUUUAGUGUGAUGGUUGGAAAGUUUUUUCGGUGUAGGAUGAGCUCGCGGCCUAUCAGCUUGUUGGUGGGGUAAUGGCCUACCAAGGCGGCGACGGGUACCCGGCCUGAGAGGGUGGACGGCCACAUUGGGACUGAGAGACGGCCCAGACUCCUACGGGAGGCAGCAGUGGGGAAGAUUGCACAAGGGGCGCAAGCCUGAUGCAGCGACGCCGCGUGGGGGAUGACGGCCUUCGGGUUGUAAACUCAUUUCGCUAGGGACGAAGCUUUUUGUGACGGUACCUAGAGAAGAAGCACCGGCUAACUACGUG